CACGGUGCUCACUUUCUGAGCUUAACUUAAUGUUGUCCAGGAGAUCUGACUGUUUUCACUGUGGAUUAACUGUACAUGCUAACAAUGCUGG